GUCGCGUCAUUGAUCUGAACCGUCGGUUCAUCCUCUAAGAGACGACGGCGAGGCGAGAGACUACCCCUCUGUUUCUGCGUGCCCGGCGGCGAGCGGAGCGCGGCGGGCGCUGAGAUUGACGGCGCGGCAAUGCAAAACCCUCGCCCCUCCUACGCGCACCACCAGCUGCAGCAGCACCUCUCCUCCCUCCUCUCCACCGCCUCCGGCGAGCCGCCGCACCCCUCCGACGACGCAUCCCGCGCCGCUGCCCUCUCCAACCUCCGCCUCUCCUUCCUCCACCUGCCCAACCGCCCCCUCCUCCCCUCCCUCGCCCCUUUCGUCGCCCCGCCCCUCUCCGUCCUCCUCGCCGACGAUGCGUCCUAUGCCGUGCGGCGCGCGGCGGUGUCAGCGUACGCGGCGCUCUGCGCCGUGCUGUGUUCGCACGAGGCACCGGGGGGACUGCCGGACGGGUUCGUCGCUUGGGCGCUGCCGCUCCUGGUGGACCCCGCCUCCGCGGCGCUCGUCGCCGAGGGGCUUCGGGAGCUCCUGGCCACCGGGGACGUGGCCGCGGUCGAGCGGUUCGUGCCGCCACUCCUCGCCGCCUGCCGCGACGUGCUUGAAGAUGAGCGGACGUCCCUGGCCGUGCUCCGGUGCCUGCUCGGCCUGCUCAUGCUGGUUGCCUCCAAGUUCCCUCACUGCUUCCGGCCGCAGUUUGUUGAUAUCAUGGACCUGCUUCUUGGGUGGGCAUUUGUGCCGGACCUUGCUGACGCCGAUCGCAGCAUGAUCAUGGAUAGCUUCACGCAAUUCCAGUGGCAUUGGCUUGGGAACCUGCAGUUCUCGCUUGGAUUGCUUCCCAAGUUCUUGGCUGAUAUGGAGGUGCUUGUGAAUGACCCCAACCUUGAAGCCAGCCACAAUUCUGGGCGGCUUCGUCCCCUGUUUGCUUGCUUCUCUACGGUUCUGCAGAUCAUGGCAUCUGGUGUGUCUGAGAGAAAUAAUCUAAGGGAACUUGUAGCAAGGCCACUGGAGGGGUUGGCUCCUCAGCUUUUAAGGUGCACAUCAGUGAUAGCCUCCAAGCUUGGCUGGUCUGAGAGGAUGGAAGAAGCAUACAGAUGCUUGGUCUUGCUCGCAGAGAUUCUGCAGGAAAGGUUUGCUGAAUUCUAUGUUAUGUUUGUGGAUGUGUUGGCCCAGAGCUUGAAAGUAGCCUCACCAGCGCAAUUGGUGGCAGCACUUAAGACUAACCUGCAAGUACUGUCACAUCAAAAUUUAGGGCUCCGUGCAUCUGCUGUGGGAGCUUUGCUUGAUUUCAGCUCAAUUUUAUCUAGGUUGCGUCUUCAUCCAAACCACACCGUGGUCGCAAACUCAGCAGCCACUUACCUUUUUUGCCUGCAGCAUGGAUUGGAAGAUGUAGUUGACCAAGCAAUCGCAUCAUUUAUGAAAGAGAUGGAGCUGAUAAAAUCUUUGCUUGAGGAAGGGCAAGUAAGUUAUCCUGAUAUCCGGAGUCUCUCCUUAGAGUGCAACAAUGAAACACAAGGCAAUUCAAACUCAGGUGCACACUCUUGGGCGUGGUAUUCAGAGGAUCAGUUGUUUUCCUUAAUGAAAUUUGAUUUGAAGAUUCUUCUGGCCACGAUUUCACUUGAUACAAAAAAGAGAAAUGAGCGAGCAACUAGGUUGGCAUCAUUUGUCUCAGAGAAGCUUGACCCAUUUGGCACUCCUUUCCAUAAUUUCCUUGAGAUGCAGUUUCAGAUUUUCUCUACACUACACAAACUGAGCAACGUGGAACUCUCAAGUAAUAUCCCAAGAUCUGAAGCAUUUGAAAGUGGCUCUGGUGGUAGUAAAUCUGGUGGUAGUAAAGCUCAGCUGAUUAUUGCAGAAAAGAAGUUUUCUUGUGAAUGUCAAAAGAAGUUUGUGCAUAAAUAUGGAAAAUACAUAGUUCAGGGCCUCAACACAUCAUCAUCCAUGACAUUGAAAUUAGAGGCUCUAGAUUGGAUAGAUUCAUUUGAAAAUUUGGUUCGUGGCACAGAGAGGGAUGUGGAUAAGGCCAGUUUCUCUUACGAGGCAUUUGGGGAUGCUGCUCUUUCGAAUGUUAUCAUUUUCUCUAUCUUGGAUUGCGCAUAUGAUAGGGAGCCUAAAGUGAGAUGCCAUGUUGCAUUAUCCUUGGAGUUGUUAUUACUGGGUAGGCUCAUCAGUCCUUUGAAUUUCUCAGUUGUUGCUCAGGUUCUUCUUGACAAGCUUAGCGAUCCAGAUAGUACUGUAAAGAACGCAUUCCUAAGGUUAUUUUCAAUUGCUUUGCCCAUUGUAACAUAUGCAUUUGGCUUGCUUGCGGACAAACAUAGUUAUCAGAAUUCCUCAGAUACUGCUAACAUAAGCAACCAUUGCAUGAGCUGGAGGCACGUGCUUGCUGUGAAGCAACAGCCUAGGAAACUCCACUGGCAGCAGCUUGUUUCUAUUUUGAGUUACCUUUCUCUCAGAUUGAAGUUACCUCUUUCUUCUUGGGUACAACGGUUGGUCUUUAGUUACCGUGGCAAGAAAGAUACACUUUCUGGUCAAACUGAUAUCUCUGGAGAUGCUGAUGGGAAUGAAUUCUCCAAAGGCUCUGGAAUGGACAGAACUACUAUUGAUAGGAUAUACUCAGUGAAUAAUCUUGCUGCAGUUUGGUGGGGAAUCCAUGAAGCUGCCCGGCACUGCAUAAACCUUCGGCUUCGAACUCAUCUUGGUGGUCCCACACAGACAUUUGCAGCUCUAGAACGCAUGCUUUUGGAUGUAACAAAUGUAUUAACACCGGAAGCUAAGGAAGGUGAAGGCAGGUAUAUAGGGCCAUCUGACAUAUGCUUAUUGCCUAUGCGCCUGCUAUUGGAUUUUGUUGAGGCAUUGAAGAAAUAUGCUUAUAAUGCAUAUGAAGGUUCCUUUGUUCUAUCACCCCCUCCAAAAGCAAGUUCCGUGUUUUUCCGUGCAAACAAACGAGUUUGUGAAGAGUGGUUUUCUCGAAUUUGUGAUCCAAUGUUGAAUGCAGGACUAGCUAUGCAUUGCAGUGAUGCAGUCGUUCACUACUGUUCAUUGCGUCUGGUAGAUCUCAGAAACCUGGCUGCAUCAUCCCUCAGGGGCAACAGUCACAUGGGAGGGGCUACUGAAAGUCAUCUUGCUUUUAGAGAGAGGUUAGAAGCAGAUGUUCUGAAGGUCCUCCGGCAUGCUUCCUUGGCGCUGUGCAGGUGUCAUGAAACAGACGCCUUAGUUGGACUUCAAAAAUGGGCUGUGUCAACAUUCUACACUUAUUUUGAGCAAGACAAUCAACUAAUACGGGGUGUAUCUGAUAGCGACAAGCACUUUUCCUGGAUGUCAGGCCUGAUUUAUCAAUCUCAGGGGCAGUAUGAAAAAGCUGCUGCACAUUAUUCCCAUCUACUGCAGUCGGAGGAAGCCCUUACCUCCAUGGAAUCUGGUGGCAUUCAGUACAUCAUAGAGCGUGUUAUUGAAUGCUACACAUCCCUAUCUGAUUGGAAAUGCUUAGAGAACUGGCUUGCAGAGUUACAAGUGCUCCGUGCUGUACAUGCUGGCAAACCUUAUUCAGGUGCUCUAACAAGUGCUGGCAAUGAACUUAAUGCUAUCCAUGCGAUGGCAUGCUUUGAUGAGGGGGACUUUCACUCAGCUUGGGGUUAUCUUGACUUGACUCCGAAAAGCAGCAGUGAGCUCACCCUUGAUCCCAAGGUCGCACUUGAGAGAAGUGAACUUAUGCUCUUGCGUGCAAUGCUUCAAUCUAAUAGCAAGUCAGACGGGGUGCGGGAGGAGCUAGAUAAAUCUAAAUUGAUGUUGGAUGAAGCACUCUCUGUUGUCCCACUCAAUGGAUUGACUGAAGCUGCCUCUUGCGCUGGCCAGCUUCAUUGCAUCUUCGCAUUUGAAGAAGCUUCUGGGCUGAUCUGCCGAAAUGGGCCUAAUCAAUCACGAUCCAUGAUGGAUUCUUUAUUAAAAGUAUUGCAUGAUCCCGUCGAUAGGAUACAUCAAGAUUGCAGCAUGUGGCUUAAGGUCUUCAAAGUGUACCGUAAUACACAGCCAUCUUCUUUAUCCACACUUCUUCUUUGUCAGAAGCUUGCUAGUCUUGCUAGAAAGCAGAGUAACUUUAUGUUGGCUACCCGCUUAAACCAUUACCUCAUAAAUCAUCCUUUGAAUUCGUCUGAUGAGAUGGACAAGGAAAUACUUGAAUUGAACAUUAAGUAUGAAGGUGCCUUGCUGAAGCAUGAAGAAGGAAAUAAUGAAGAGGCUUUAUCUGAUCUAUGGUCACUGGUUCGUUCUAGCUUUCUGUCUACAGUUAGUAGUUCAUCUGGCAUUGACACUUCACUUUCACUGAUUGCUAAGGCUUGUUUGAAACUCUCAACCUGGAUGGACCAAGAGAACUCAAUUCCUAUCUUAAAUAUUAUCAUUCCAAAGGUAAUAAAAGAUUUUAGUGAUUCGGAUGGCUUUCAAAAUGGGGAAGAAAAACCUUUGUCUGGUGAUAGUGUGUCAGUUUCGACUUCAAAUUGUCAUGCACUUGCACAACAAAUCAUAGGCACUGCUCGGAAGAUAUCCUGUCAACUUUGUCCCAGUAUGGGUAAGGCUUGGCUUGCUUAUGCAUCCUGGUGCUUUGCUCAUGCCAAUUACUCUCUGUCUGGAACUGAUUCAAACUUGCAGAAUUCACUGUCCCCUGUUCUUCAAUCUGAACUUUCCCCAGAUAGAUAUCACUUGACAGAUAACGAGAAGUCUGAGGUGGAGGAAAUAAUUAGAAGUAUCUAUGCUGAUGAACAUGCAAAUCAUGUAGGUCAUGAUUAUCCAGCGACAGCAGGAUGUUACGAUUCUGCACCGGAGUACCCCAUAACUUCACUAAUUGAACAGACAGUUCGUCUGAUAGAAACUGCAGCUGGAGCACCAGGCUCUGAGUCCUGUGAAGGUGAAGACCCCUGUGCAGUGCUAAAAUCAGAGCUUACUGUUCUUCUUUGUAAAUGUGAUUCUGCAAAGGACAUUACGCCUUUGAUUGACAAGCUCAUUGAAAUUUGGUGGCUUUUAAGGCAAAGGAGGGUAUCACUCUUUGGGCACGCCGCACAUGCUUAUUUUCAGUACCUAUCUCAUUCAUCAACUGAGCUUCAACCUUCAUAUCACUGUGAUUCUUUGAAAGGGAAAACAAGGAGCUACACUCUGCGGGCAUUGCUGUAUCUCCUCCACAUAAUGUUGAACUAUGGGGUGGAACUGAAGGAAACACUCGAAAGUGGGCUUUCAACAGUUCCUUUAUUGCCAUGGCAGGAGAUUAUACCACAACUUUUUGCUCGCUUGAGUUCCCACCCAGAGAAGAUAGUAAGGCAACUGUUGGAGAGCAUUUUGACGAAGUUAGGAAAACUCUCUCCUUGUUCUAUUGUAUAUCCUACAUUGGUUGAUAUCAAUGCUUGUGAAGGAGAACCCUCUGAGGAGCUUCAGCGCAUAUCAGACUUUCUGGUUAAGCUAUACCCCGAUUUAAUUAAGGAUGUUAAGCUUGCAAUUGAGGAGCUAGGAAUGAUUACUGUUCUUUGGGAGGAACAAUGGCUGAGCACUUUACAAGAUCUCCAUUCAGAUGUUUUAAGGAGAAUCAAUAUACUUAAAGAGGAAGCUGCAAGGGUUGCUGCAAAUUCUACCCUGAGUUCAGCAGAAAAGAACAAGAUCAAUGCUGCAAAAUAUUCUGCUAUGAUGACCCCAAUUGUUGUAGCCUUGGAGCGUCGUCUAGCAUCUACAUCUCGCGAACCAAAAACAUCUCAUGAAAUGUGGUUCCAUAAGGAAUAUAAUGCUCAGCUGAAAUCUGCAAUCACAACCCUUAAGACGCCCCCUGGAUCUCCAGCAGCAUUAGGAGAGAUUUGGCAGCCUUUUGAUUCAAUUGCUGCUUCUUUAGCCACUCAUCAAAGAAAGUCAUGCAUAUUGUUAAGUGAAAUUGCACCACAGCUAGCAAUUUUAUCGACCUCUGACAUUCCAAUGCCUGGUUUUGAGAAGCAGAUACUUGAUUCCUCAGAAUCAUUUGCUGGAAACCACGGCACUGUAACAGUAUCUUCGUUCUGCAAAGAGGUAACAGUACUUUCAACAAAGACAAGACCUAAGAAGCUCGUCUUGCAAGGAUCAGAUGGUCAGAGGUAUACGUAUCUUCUCAAGGGCCGGGAGGAUUUACGUCUUGAUUCUCGGAUCAUGCAGCUGUUGGAAGCAAUAAAUAGCUUCUUGUACUCAUCUUCUGACACUCGAAGUCGAAAUAUUGCACUACGGUUUUAUUCUGUUACACCGGUUAGUGGACGAGCUGGUCUGAUCCAGUGGGUGGAAAAUGUAAGCAGCAUAUACAACGUGUACAAGUCAUGGCAAAAGCGUUCACAGUUGGCACAGGCAGAGGCACAGCUGUCUUCAGUUAGCACCGGUAACUAUCACAACCCUGUUCCCCGUCCAAGUGAUAUGUUCUAUGGGAAGAUUAUACCAGCACUGAAAGAAAAAGGGAUCAAAAGGGUAGUCUCACGAAGAGAUUGGCCACUAGAUGUUAAAAGAAAAGUUCUAUUGGAGCUUAUGAAGGAGACUCCGAAACAGAUUCUGUGGCAAGAAAUGUGGUGCGCAAGCGAAGGGUUCAGAAACUUUAACUCCAAAGUUAAGAGAUUCUCUAGCAGUGUAGCAGCCAUGAGCAUGGUUGGCCAUAUGUUGGGCCUUGGAGAUAGACAUUUAGACAACAUUCUUAUGGAUUUCAACAAUGGUGAUGUAGUUCACAUAGAUUACAACAUAUGCUUUGAUAAAGGAAAAAGGCUGAAAAUUCCAGAAAUUGUUCCAUUCCGUCUCACUCAAACUAUCGAAUCGGCUUUAGGAUUAACUGGAGUGGAAGGUAUUUUCAGAGUUACUUGUGAGGAAGUUAUGGGUGUCCUCUUGAAGAACAAAGAUAUCAUCUUGAUGUUGUUGGAAGUAUUUGUUUGGGACCCAUUGAUCGAGUGGACACGCGGAAAUAUCCAAGAUGAAGCAGGAAUAGCUGGUGAAGAGAAGAAAGGAAUGGAAUUAGCAGUUAGUUUGAGCUUGUUUUCUUCUAGAAUCCAAGAAAUCCGUGUUCCUUUGCAGGAGCAUCAUGAUCUUUUCAUAACUAACUUGCCGGCUACACUAUCUGCUCUAAAGAAAUUCUUGGAUACUCUAGAUAACUAUGAGGUUGCAUCGGCUAUGUUUUAUCAUGCCGAGAAAGAGAGAUCAAGUGCUUUGCAGAAUGAAACAUCAGCUAAGUCCAUCCUAGCUGAUGCUACUUCAGUUGCUGAGAAAUCUCGCACUUCAUUUGAAAUUCAUGCUCACGAGUUAGCAGAAGCAAAAGCUGCGGCAGUUGAUGAAGCUAACAAGCUUGCAUUAUGGGUGGAAAAACAUGGGCGGGUUCUUGAGGCCAUACGGGACAAUUCUAUUAUGGCCGUUGAGUCAUGCAUGCAAUUAAACUGUAAGGAUGAGGCCUUAAGCCUUAUUUCAUCUGUCCUUGUGUCAGGAGUCCCACUUACAGUUGUACCAGAGCCAACGAGGGCACAGUGCCAUGAGUUGGAUAAGGAGAUUUCUCAAUUAAUAUUUGAGUUGCAUGGUGGACUUUCCUCUGCUUUAGACUCACUUGGUGAAUAUGUUUUAGUCUUGCAGCAUGUUGUUCCAGUUAACUACAUCACAACCAGUCCAAUUACUAGUUGGGCGCAAGUUUUGCAGCUAUCUGUAAGCAGUGCACCACAAGAUAUGCUUCCCCUUGCCAAAAGGCAUGCUGCAGAAGUCAUUGCUAAGGUUCAAGGUGAAGGCAUUAAUCUAGUGCAACAAAGAUACCGGGAUCUCUUAAAUCAAAUGGAAAGUUAUGUUGCAUGUGUGGAAAGACUUGCGAGGGAAUGUUCUGAACUGAUGAAUUCCAUUGGGUUGGAUAAUGAAGUGCAAUCCAAAGAGCGGAUACUUUCUGCAUUCAUGAACUCUGUUCAAUUGCCAUCACAAAAGGACGGGGAUAAUAUUCAUUUAUCGCAUUCAGGAAGUCUUAGACAGGGUGAGAUGAAAACUCCAGCCAAAGAUGAUAUACAAGAGGCAACAGGUAAGGUUCUCUCUAUUCUUGGGAUUGCUGUGGGCCAGCUAUAUAGUGAUGUUAGAACCAAAGUGUCUGACCUCUCAACUAAAGCUAUUGGAAAAGCUAUAUUUAGGACAGAUGGUGCUGGUCUUCAAGCUGACGCUGGAAUGGGCUUGCAAUUGUUAGAACAGCAGAUAGAAAAAUGUGCAUUGGUUUCAGGAGUUGUUGAUGAAGUGCAUGAAGUGAUUGAGAAAAAAAUAGCUGAAACAAGUGCUGCUUAUGCAAAGCCCCAACCUAGGCAUUGGGCUUCUAAUUUUCAGGCUGUCUUGCACUCAAGUAUCAACAUGAUUGAACAAAUGACUGAAGCUUUUCUUCCAGAAUUUAUUAGAUCAUUUGUUUCAUACAAUUCAGAGGUAAUGGAAGCCUUUGGUUCAAUUUCUCAGAUACGUGGUUCUAUUGAUACAGCUCUAGAGAAGCUGGUUGAGGUAGAACUUGAGAGAGUAUCUCUUACUGAACUAGAACAGAGCUACGUUGUGAAAGUUGGUCAAAUUACUGAGCAGCAAAUAGCUCUUGAAGAAGCUGCUGCGAGAGGUAGAGAACAUCUAUCUUGGGAAGAAGCAGAGGAGCUAGCUUCGCAGGAGGAAGUCUGUAGGGCACAAUUGGAACAGCUCCAUGAAACAUGGAGCCAGAAAGAUAUGCGGAUUUCAUCACUUAUGAAAGUAGAAGCCAGUGUCAUGAAUUCGCUACUUUCUUCUAAACAGUACUUCUUAUCUUUAGUGGAUCCUAAUCAGGAAAGUGAAUUUCAUUUGAGACGAAGCAAGGCUCUACUUUCAAUCUUGACAAAGCCUUUCGCUGACUUGGAGUCUCUUGAUCACAUGCUAUCAUCGUGUGGAGCGUUUCCUUCUCACACAGAUAGACCCAUUUCCAAUCUUAAAGAUGUUUUGUCUUUAGGUUCUUCAUUAUCUGAUUUGGUGUGGCCUUUAGCUGGCACAUUGAAGGAUCAUUCUUUUUUUGUUUGGGAACUCAGUUUUGUCGAUUCAAUUCUUGAUUUGUGCAUGCACGAGAUUUCAUCUUUUGUUGAGCACAGUUUCACUACCAAUCAGCUUUACAUUACUCUUAAAAAGAAGCUCGCAAUCCAUGUGGAAAAACAAGUUUUUUGGUAUAUUACAGAAAGGAUUGCUCCUGUACUCAUCCUAAGUUUAGACGAAGAAAUUAGUGCUUUGCUGCAGCUGAGUCAAGGAAGAAGAGAAUCAGAUCAACCUAAAAGAGAUUCUGCUGCUGUUGGAAGGGUUGCAUUAAUGCUUGAAGAGUACUGUAAUGCUCAUGAGACAGCUAGAGCUGCCCGAACUGCAGUUUCUCUAAUGAAAAGGCAAUUAAAUGAGCUUACAGAGGCUCUACGCAAAAUCAUUUUGGAAAUAGUUCAGGUUGAAUGGCUACAUGAUCUUUCAUCUCCUCAUGUGCAGAAGGCGAAGGCUUUGUCACAAAAGAUUCUUAGUGAUGAUAAGUUCAUCUCUGUGAUUUUAAAUCUGAGCAGAAGCAACUUGUUAGAUAAGAUUCAGUCUGCGGUGUCAUUGAUAACAAGGUCAAUUGAAUGCCUGCAAGCUUGUGAUAGCAUUUCUGUUUCAGCUGAAGGACAACUUGAGAGAGCAAUGGGAUGGGCCUGUGCUGGUCCAAAUACCUCUGGAGCAAGCGGUUCAACUGCAAAGGGUUCAGGAAUUCCUCCUGAAUUUCAUGAUCAUCUGUUGAAAAGGAGGAAGUUGCUUCGGGUGGUUCAAGAAGAGGCAUCUGAUCUUGUUAAGUUUUGCACAUCUGUUUUGGAGUUUGAAGCAUCUAGAGAUGGACUUUACUUCAUUCCCGAGGAUAAGGCUUCCGAACAAUCUAUUGACAAAGGCAGGGCCUGGCAGCAAACAUUUUUGAAUCUCCUGACACAUCUAGACGCAGCAUAUCAUUCUUUUACAUGUGCAGAACAAGAGUGGAAACGUGGCCAGCUCAACCUGGAAACUGCUGGAAAGGGCUUGUUUUCAGCAAACAACCAGGUUUCUCUAGUCUCUGUAAAAGCCAAAUCUACUUAUGUUAAUCUACAGGAUACCCUUGUAGCCAUGUAUGAAUGUGCUUGUGAAGUAAAUGCAUUGUUAUCUGGAUUCAAAUAUGUAUCACAGGAUCGCACUGCUUUGACUUCUGAAUGUGGUUCCUUGCUCGAGGAGGUUUUGGCUAUAGCAGAUGGGUUUCAUGAUGUCUACACUCUGGGCAAGGAAGCUGCUGCAGUGCACAGUUCCCUUAUGGCCAAUCUUUCCAAGGCAAAUACGAUUUUACUUCCACUUGAAGCCUGUCUAUCUGCUGAUGUAACUGUAAUGUCUGAAGCGAUUUCAAAGGAAAGAGAGAAGAACAAUGCCAGUAUGCCUCUUAUUCACGGAAAGGCAUUAUACCAAUCUUAUAACAUUAAAGUAAGGGAAGCUUGCAAAAAUUUAGAACCUCUGGUGGAUCCACUUACUGAGUAUGUGAAGGAACUGCAUUCCAUGGUCAUGAAGCUCGGACGCCUUUCAAGUCUUCAUGCAGGGAAUCUUCAUAAGGCUCUAGAAGUUCUCGGAGAAAGGGAAACUGUGAGAUCCCAGGAUAUACCCUCGACACAUCCAGAUCUUAUGCAAAUUGGUUCAUCAAUUGAGAAGGAUAGAUGCUCUCAGGAUUUAGUAAUGAACACUGAUGUUUCUUUGCAAGAUGGAUGUUGGAUUUCUCCUCCAGAGCACUCAUAUACUAGCAGUUCUGAAUGUACCACGGGGUUAACCCAGAUUAAUUCUUCUGACUACUUAGAGAAAAUAGAUGCCCUUAUGGAUGACAGUCCUGGUGCUAACGGUCAGGAAACCACAGACAGUAGCAAUAAUCAGGCAAUAUUAAACAAUGUUGCACUGACAAAUGCUAGCAAUAUUCAUGAGGUUGAAACACAUUUGGUGGAGGGAAGAACUGAAAGUGAAGAUAACAGUACGACCUUUAAACAGGUUAGAGGACAAGAAUGUGACAACAGUGAUCCUAAAUCCUAUGCAGAUUCUGUGACUCGAGUGACCAGAGGUAAAAAUCCUUUUGCUCUGUCCAUCCUGAAGCAAGUGGAGCAUAAGUUACAUGGAUGGGAUAUAGAUGGCACCAGGUCCUUGAACAUUUCCGAGCAAGUUGACCAUCUUCUUAAACAAGCGACAAGCAUAGACAACUUAUGCAAUAUGUAUGAGGGGUGGACACCUUGGAUAUGAUUCAAAGAUGCGACUUUCUUCAAUGUGCAUGGUCCAGGUUGUCCAGAGCUCUGGUGGUGGCAGUGUCUGCAGUGCAGACCUUACCGUGGUAGCCCCAUGUGGAUAAAGAAAUUAAGAUGCCGGUACAUACAUUCCUUGAGUGUUGCCUCCACGAGGGGGUGGAUUGCCGGCACCUGCAGCAGGCACAGCUACAUCGAAGCAUGUUUUGGAAGCACGAUGAAAGGAUGAGUAGAUGCUGUGGCAGGUGGCAGGCCCCAGCAGUGCCAUGACAAGCUCCGGCAGCCUGAGCUGUGGUGAUGAUUGUGAUGCUGACAGUGGAAGCAUCAGUUGCAGGGGUUGCAACAAGAGCAGCAGCAGUUUUGAUGCCGCCUUCAAUGCUGUCCCCAGGGGAAAAGGUAACAUGCGACCUCCGGGUGGCACAAGGCGAUCCUCAAUGAUGUAAAAAAUGCUGAUUAAGGCCAGCAAAGCCUUUAUUCAUCUUGAUUAGGAGCUGAUUUAUUCCUGCUGUGAGACGACCGAGCAACUCUUCCUUGUCAGCAAUUUUAGCAGCAUAGAUGUUUUGUUGGCUGGUAAUCCCCAUUGGAUAGGUCCCCAUGUGAUUAAUUUUGUCAAACAUGACAAUGCCAAGAACUUUAAGAGAUCUCCUUUCACCAGAAAAUGUUGGAUUAUGUUCCUUGGGUUCCCGCUGGACUUUAAGGAAUUUUACUUCAUCCAACAAGUCUGUUCUUCCUUUGGCAAGCUUCUUUAUUGGCAUUCCUCUGACCGAAGUCUGGCUCGUGUUCUGGUUAAAGUUUUGAUUGAUGAUCCUCUAGAUAUUCCUAGAAGCAUGGUUAUCAAGCUUGGUCGUGAGCUUGAUGGGGAUGGUCGCUCUUGGACUUGUCCAGUGUACAUCUUCAACUCUAUGAUGGCUGAUGAGAUUCCUCCGGAUGAGGAUGUUCCUCCUCACAACAAUGGCAACCCUCAUCCUUUUGAAGGUCCUGUGAUUCCUGGUGAACCCGAAGUUAUGGCUUAGCUAGCUGAUCAGCUCUUUGGUCAGGGAGGUCUUCAUGAUCAGGCUCAGCAAAUGCAGAUAGAUCAAGUUUCUGAAGCUAGUUUUGUCAAUCAAGCUUCUUCUUCAGAUGUCCCUUUUGCCCAAGCACUUGAAGUUGUGAGAAAUGCUGAAGUUAGAGGGAAGCUGAUUUCUUGCAGACAAAGGACCUUCAUGAUACAUGAACCUUCAAUGAACUCUCCUUUUCAGGCUGAGACCUCAAACUCAAACAACCAGUUGAUUGAUAACUUGGAUACGGUUGCCAGUUUCAUGGCUAAUCAUUUGAGGUUAGCCAUGGACAAUUAUCUCAAACAAGUCCAAAGCUGCUCAAGAAACAUUUUCUCGGUCUCAAUACCUGCUCACCUCUGGAAAACUAAUCUCAACAACAAGGAUAUUGUUUUUAGCACCUUGGAUUCUUCGGAGGUUCAAGGAAUUUUCACAAUUCAAGCCCUGAUAGAAGUCAAAAAAUAUCAGUCUCCGAGCCAAAAGGAUUUCUUAGAAGCUAACACCAAAAGCAACACUCCCCUUCUUCUAACAUGGAAAGAAAAUUCAGAGUCACCAUGGCCUAUAUCGGAUACCAAUGACAUCUAUUCAUCCAAACCGGCCAUCACCAGAGUUUUCUUCAGAAAGAAACUGAGAAACAAAAGGAAAGAUGAUCAGAGAAGUGCUACUGGCGACAAAAUCUUCUCUGUUUUCAAAGAAGUCCUUACUCAACAGGAGCCUGCUACAAAAAGAGGUGAAUAAACGAUGACAAUGAAGAGAGUCGCCACGCCCUUAUCUGAUAAAAGCUUGAGAAGAAGCAAGAGGCUCCAAAACAAGUUUGAUGGUCACAAGGUUGGCCCUAGCAAUGAUCUCCAGAAGAUACAUACCAAGAGCAGGACAAAAAUCAGGAGAACUCCUAACAAAAGAUUCCUAACUGGUGGCUAUAGAGAAAUGCAGUUUACCUCCUUUGGAGGUAACAAAGGAGCUGCACCUGGCAAGGAGGGGGAUGAUUUCAAGCGGAGAACUACACACAGAGCGUGACCAAAAAAUGGAUUCUGGAGAUGGGAGCAGCAUACAACCUCUUAGCCUAGUUAGACAUGAAUAGUUAUCUUAGAUCUUUUGCGACUACCAGGGAAUGCCCUGAUGACUUUUGGUGUAAUCUUAUCUUUGGUCUCUUCUAUGGGAGAUGGAUCCUUCUGAAGACUUUAGUUGAUUGGUGCACGUCGACCUAUGUUGCUUGAUACUUCUAUUU